GAAAGACACAAGCUAUAGUGGACGGCCCAGACAAGUCCAAGGUGUCUGUGAUCCUGGAGACAGUGAGGGAGCAGCUUUUAUAAGAUGGAGCAGAUGAACAGGUGGCAGCAGGUGGACAGAUAUUACGUUCUGCGGAGAUGUCUUCUACUUG